rnacentral:lncRNA from 1 species
AAUGCCUCUGAAUUGUUCACUUUAAGAUGGCUGUUUUUAUGUUGUGUGAAUUUCACCUCAAAAAAAUUAUUCCUUUCUUUUCAACGAAAAUGGAGCGUUGACUGUGUUUCACAUACUGUUGAAUGUCCUGGGGACAUAUUGACGAGGAAGACGCCCAAGAUGCCCACCCCACAGAGCAUAAGGUCUAGUGAAACAUACAGGUACACAGUUGUAUAUUCUUCGUUGUGGGUCCUUCUAGUUGUGGCGUGUGGGAUGCUGCCUCAGCAUGGUUUGAUGAGCAGUGCCAUGUCUGUGCCCAGGAUUUGAACCAACGAAACACUGGGCCGCCUGCAGCGGAGCGCACGAACUUAACCACUCGGCCAUGGGGCCAGACCCCAUUUUAACCAUUUUAAAGUGUACAAUUCAGUGGCAUUUACUACAUUCACAGUAUUGGGCAACCAUCACCAUUAUCUGGCUCCAGAACAUUUCAGCACCCCAAAAGGGAAAUUCUGUACCCAUCAGCAGUCAGUCCCAAUGCCUCCCAACUCCUGGCAACCACUAAUCUACUUUCCAUCUCUAUGCGUUUGUCUGUUCUGGACAUUUUGUAUAAAUGGAAUCAUAUAUUAU